rnacentral:rRNA from 1 species
AUGCGAGGUCUCAUGUUGCUAAAUCUUAAUAAGAACACGCUUUCAGGUGUGAUUCCUCAAGAUUUAGCUCUAAUGAGUGGCCUUCAAGAGUUAUACCUUGCACACAACAACUUGUCUGGUCAUAUCCCAGAAAACUUGGAAAAUAUGGCAUCGAUGUACCAGUUAGACCUGUCCUUCAACCAUCUGGAUGGCAAAGUUCCAUCACGAGGAGUUUUUAGUAAUGCAUCUGGGUUUUCAUUUGUUGGGAAUUUGGGGCUUUGUGGUGGUAUACUAGAGUUAGAUUUGCCCCCAUGCCAGCCGGAAUCCGUGGGACAUGGCUUGAGCAAACGCCAUUUGACUAUCAUCCUAGUUACCACAAUGGCAGGCAUAAUUCUGGCUUUGAGUUCGAUGCUUGUUUUCUUCACAAUGAGAAAGAAAUCAAAAGCUCGGCCUACAACCACAGGAGGAUUCCAGUUGAUGGACAGUUACCCUAGAGUUACUUAUGCUGAAUUGGUCCAAGGAACAAGUGGCUUUGCAGUAGACAAUUUGAUUGGCAGAGGAAGGUACGGAUCGGUGUACAAGUGUUGUUUGCUGCUCAAAAAUAUGAUGACCACAGUAGCUGUAAAGGUUUUUGAUCUACAACAGUCUGGCUCUUCCAGAAGCUUUCUAGCUGAGUGUGAGGCACUUAGUAAGAUCCGACAUCGUAAUUUGAUUAGUCUCAUAACUUGUUGUUCAAGCAAUGACUCAAACCAAAACGACUUCAAAGCCAUUGUUUUCGAGUUCAUGCCUAAUGGGAGCCUAGAUAGGUGGUUACACAUGGAUGUACAUGUAUCGCAUCAACUGCAAGGCUUGACAUUGAUGCAGAGACUAAAUAUUGCAGUUGAUAUUGCUGAUGCGAUAGAUUAUUUACACAACAAUUGUGAACCGCCAAUAAUUCAUUGUGACUUGAAGCCAAGCAACAUUCUUCUCAAUGAGGAUUUAGUUGCUCAAGUUGGGGACUUUGGCCUUGCAAAGAUUCUUUCCGAACCAGCAGCUGACCAACUGAUCAAUUCAAAGAGCACAGUUGGAAUAAGGGGAACAAUUGGAUACGUCGCUCCAGAAUAUGGCGAAGGUGGUCAAGUUUCUUCUUGUGGAGAUGUGUACAGCUUCGGAACUGUCAUCCUCGAGUUGUUUACAGGCAUGGCACCUACUCAUGACAUGUUUAGAGACGGGUUGACCCUGCAGAAACAUUUCGAGAAUGCAUUUCCAGGGAUGCUAAUGCAGAUUGUUGAUCCAGUCCUACUGUCCAUUGAAGAAGCCAAUGCUAAUAGUUUGCAGGAUGCAAACAACACAAUGGAACAUGCCAUAUUCUCUGUCAUGAAGGUUGCGCUAUCAUGCAGCAAGCAUGCACCGACAGAGAGAAUGUGCAUCAGAGAUGCUGCUGCUACGAUUCACAGGAUAAGGGAUGGUUAUGUUAAAGCAAGACAAAAUGAGGGGGUUGUUACAGCUGCAUUUACCGCAAGGCAUUUUGCUGAAACAUCCAGGGCAGCCCCUUGA